ACUACGGGGGGCAGCAGUGAGGAAUAUUGGUCAAUGGGCGGAAGCCUGAACCAGCCAAGUAGGGUGCAGGAUGACGGCCCUACGGGUUGUAAACUGCUUUUAUACGGGAAUAACGCGCCUUACGUGUAGGGCUUUGCAUGUACCGUAUGAAUAAGGACCGGCUAAUUCCGUGCCAGCAGCCGCGGUAAUACGGAAGGUCCGGGCGUUAUCCGGAUUUAUUGGGUGUAAAGGGAGCGUAGGCCGCAUGUCAAGCGUGCUGUGAAAUGUCCGGGCUCAACCCGGGCCUUGCAGCGCGAAGUGGCGUGCUUGAGUCCGCGGAAAGCAGGCGGAAUUCGUCGUGUAGCGGUGAAAUGCUUAGAUAUGACGAAGAACCCCGAUUGCGAAGGCAGCUUGCUGCAGCGGAACUGACGCUGAUGCUCGAAAGCGCGGGUAUCGAACAGGAUUAGAUACCCGAGUAGUC
rnacentral:rRNA from 1 species